rnacentral:rRNA from 1 species
GUGGAUUAGAUACCCCGGUAGUCCACGCCCUAAACGAUGUCAACUAGGUGUUGGGAGGGUUAAACCUCUUAGUGCCGUAGCUAACGCGUGAAGUUGACCGCCUGGGGAGUACGGCCGCAAGGCUAAAACUCAAAGGAAUUGACGGGGACCCGCACAAGCGGUGGAUGAUGUGGAUUAAUUCGAUGCAACGCGAAAAACCUUACCUACCCUUGACAUGUCAGGAAUCCUGAAGAGAUUUGGGAGUGCCCGAAAGGGAGCCUGAACACAGGUGCUGCACGGCCGUCGCCAACU